CAGCCAAGCAAGUGCGCUGCUAGGCGGCCCGCGGACGCGCACGAGCUGCAUAUAGAAAUAUCAUUUACUCGAAAACGAUUUGGUUAUGUAUCGGUGUUUAAUUGUGGGUGGUUUUAGUGACCGUUGACUAUUGCACAUAGCAAUAUGUUUGCAACAAUAGUGAAAUUUCCCCGCCUAAAAAAAAUAAAUUAAAGUAAGGUAAAUUCAAGGGUAAACUAAGAGCACGUUAGAAGUACAUACCGCUUGGUGAAGUCACAGUACCCCAUAUACCUUUUCUGCGCUUUUUGUAAAUUUAUGAUUACUUUGUACAUAUGACGUGACAUAUUAUACCCUUAACUUCAA